AACGAACGCUGGCGGCAUGCCUAACACAUGCAAGUCGAACGAGAUCUUCGGGUCUAGUGGCGCACGGGUGCGUAACGCGUGGGAAUCUGCCCUUUGGUUCGGAAUAACAGUUGGAAACGACUGCUAAUACCGGAUGAUGACGAAAGUCCAAAGAUUUAUCGCCAGAGGAUAAGCCCGCGUAGGAUUAGCUAGUUGGUGUGGUAGAGGCGCACCAAGGCGACGAUCCUUAGCUGGUCUGAGAGGAUGAUCAGCCGCACUGGGACUGAGACACGGCCCAGACUCAUACGGGAGGCAGCAGUGGGGAAUAUUGGACAAUGGGCGAAAGCCUGAUCCAGCAAUGCCGCGUGAGUGAUGAAGGCCUUAGGGUUGUAAAGCUCUUUUACCCGGGAUGAUAAUGACAGUACCGGGAGAAUAAGCUCCGGCUAACUCCGUGCCAGCCGCCGCGGUAA
rnacentral:rRNA from 1 species